UGGGGGAUAUUGCACAAUGGGCGAAAGCCUGAUGCAGCGACGCCGCGUGGGGGAUGAAGGCUUUCGGGUUGUAAACCUCUUUCGCUAUCGAACAAGGCCCGCUUAGGGUGGGUUGAGGGUAGGUGGAGAAGAAGCGCCGGCUAACUACGUGCCAGCAGCCGCGGUAAUACGUAGGGCGCGAGCGUUGUCCGGAAUUAUUGGGCGUAAAGGGCUUGUAGGCGGCUUGUUGCGCCUGCUGUGAAAACGCGGGGCUUAACUUCGCGCGUGCAGUGGGUACGGGCAGGCUUGAGUGGGGUAGGGGUGACUGGAAUUCCAGGUGUAGCGGUGGAAUGCGCAGAUAUCUGGAGGAACACCGAUGGCGAAGGCAGGUCACUGGGCCAUUACUGACGCUGAGGAGCGAAAGCAUGGGUAGCGAACAGG
rnacentral:rRNA from 1 species